AUUGAACGCUGGCGGCAGGCCUAACACAUGCAAGUCGAGCGGAGCGGCGGACGCGUGAGUAAUGCUUAGGCAUCUUCCUGGUAGUGGGGGAUAACGUCCGGAAACGGGCGCUAAUACCGCAUACUAUCAGAUGAGCCUAGGUCGGAUUAGCUAGUUGGUGGGGUAAAGGCCUACCAAGGCGACGAUCCGUACCGGGUCUGAGAGGAUGAUCAGUCACCCUGGAACUGAGACACGGUCCAUACUCCUACGGGAGGCAGCGGUGGGGAAUAUUGGACAAUGGGCGAAAGCCUGAUCCAGCCAUGCCGCGGGUGUGAAGAAGGUCUUCGGAUUGUAAAGCACUUUAAGUUGGGAGGCGGUACCAACAGAAUAAGCACCGGCUAACUUCGUGCCAGCAGCCGCGGUAAUAC
rnacentral:rRNA from 1 species